UAUGUAUAUAAAAUGUAUUUAUUCUCACUGCAGUUUUUUUGAUUAUUUGUUUUUUUCUAAAAAGAAAAAGAGAAAGAAAAAAACAUUUUAUAGAGAUUCGUGUAUAACUUUAUUCUGGAAGAGAUUUACUCUCGAAGUCGACGCUUCGUUGCAUUGACAUUGUCAAUUUUUCCGCUAACUUUAUCGGAAUUUCUGUUUUCCACUUUGUGCAUCUAUCUCGUACAAUCUCUCCGCAAUCCGCCGCGAUGCGUUGCGCGUUUCCAUGACGGGAAAGUAGUCAAGCUGGAAUGAUAAACGUACAUAUUUUCGCUCUACUCACAAUAAAUAAUAUCUCCGUUCGACGGAAUAGUCAUCGUGAAACAGAAGAUAAAUAACAUCAGUCUCUAUCACAAUGAUUUUCUAUCAGGAAUGAAUAUAUACAGAAUCGUGGAACGAUUCUAUUGCAAUUGUGUAUCGAUUAUAUAAAAUAAUUGCAUUAUAUAUAAUAAUUUAAAUAGUUUAAUUAUAAUUUUUAUCUAUACACUUGUAAAUGUCAUUAAUAUGGAUGUAAAUUUAGGGGAUUUGUUUUUUUUUUAUUCAUGACAAUUCAGGAAAAAGUAUCCUGAUUGAAAACACAAAACGAAGUUAAAUGCACCUGUGUCGCAUUGCGCGAAGAUUCGCGGUCUUGUCCUCUGAUAAAACAGAGAAACGUGCCGCAAAAGCAGUUUUCGACCCGCAAACGACCUUCCGGGUACUUAACGGAUGAGUAGAGAGUUAUAUGGGUGCAUCGCUCGCUCAAGCGAUGCAUUCGAGACAAGCUUGAUUCGAAAGUGAAACUUGUCCUGACACUGUGAUCAGCGAUGUGCCCUAUCUAGGUGAAAUCUGUGUAAGUGUUUACUCGACCGAUCCAUGAAGUGUAGCUUUUUGCGCAUCAAUUAAAGCGCUAAGAAUACAAUUGAUCGAGCUAUAUAGCCAAAGGGACAAAACGCGCACAAAAUGUAUCAUGCAUGGCACCGCUCGAUAUGUUCACCGGCAGAAUCUAAAUCGACCUACGAACAAAUGCUCCACGAUGUUAUAUACGGAUAACGUCGUCACUUCCCGUUCGAAAAAUCUCACAUAUAUCACAGGCGCACUGACACACGGUUAAGAUAUGAAAAAAUGAAAGCACGGCGAGAGAUGAACACUGACCAGAAUAAACUGCAUGUUUCCUCGAAAGGGAACCGUGUGGCCCAUCGUAUGUGAAAAAGAUGGCAACGACUGCCGUCUUUUUUUACGGUUCGUCACUCUUCUGACGAAUUCAUCAUGACAUUCGAGGCUUUUAUAGCGAGUGCUCCUCUGUCUAGACGCCUAGAUACUCUAGACACGCAGGUAUUUCGAGGAGGGAUACAAUGAGUGCCAUGGUGCCAUACGGGGGUCUCGACUCUUCGUGUACAUCUUCAGUUAGGAGGGGAUUUCCUCGUUCAUCACAGUAAAUGCUUCACAGUAAAUGCGGAACGAUAAGGGUUACUGUCGUUCCUGAAAAAUGCAUGCAUCGCGGUUGCCUUUCACCGACGGUAUGUCCGCCGAGAGAUGCGCCGGGUUGCACCCGCGUUAGAUGAUGAGAAUUGAUUACCACCGGCUUCUGUACACGUCCUAUAAUCGACAGUACCACAGAGUGCCAUAAAAAUUCUAUGUGAGGCGACAAGGAAGCGACAAAUUGAGAGAGUCGUUACUCGGACCCCACGAUGGGGAAUUACGUUGACUUUCUUUCGAUAUGAUGUCUGAAGCAGCUGUCUUUUCGAUUUUUUUGUCUUCACACAGAUAAUCGAAUCGGUUACUUUCACUAUGCUUCGGGAACGAUACAUGACUUCUGUUGCUAACGCACAAUCAUACAAAGAUGCAAAUCUCAAGUACAAGCUGUCGCGAAUUUGCUCGAUAGACUUUAAAAUAGAGGGAAUCAAUAGUAGACAAACUAAAUAUCAAACGAGAGCUCUCUUAUAAUAGCUCGAAUAUAAUAGCUACUGAAAUUUUCAAUACGUCAAUUCGAAAAAGAACUUAAAAAGAAAGGAUAAAAAAAAGUAUUAAAAAAUAUUUAAAAAAGUAUUAAAAAAAAAGAUGCACGAAAUAGAUAUAGACGAAUCACUAGUAAAACUAAUAUUACUAAACAACUACUGGGGGGAUUAAUUUUCCCAUAACUGUGCGAUAUACAUAAGCACACAACAUCGUACAUAUAACAUCGGAAGAUCUAUAAAGUUGGCGUCACGGAAGAUUCGCUUUCCUUCCGCAUUUAAACACAGUAGUAAUCAUCGCAAGUCAUUUGCACGGUAGAGAGAAGAUAUAAUAUAAUGUUGAAUUUAGUAUUUUAUGGAUGAAAUAGAAAAGCUGACUUCUCGUAAUUAAAAUUUAUUCUCAGAUCCGUAAUCCGAUUCCCACCAACGAAGAGACAAUCUUGAAGAGAGAAAUCAUGCUACAAAUUUCAUUUCUAUCGGAUACAUCGAUAGAAUGCUUUUUCGGACCACUUUGUGGUAUUAUUAUUAUUGUUAUUAUUAUACGCAAAAACUUAUAAUAAUUUUCUCCACAUCGUCAAUAUAUUUUAUCAAUAUUAGAUUAGAUUCUCACGAAUCUUUCCACUUCUAUAAGCCUCUCAGAAACCAAGCUGAAAUUAAUUCAAUUUUUGUAAAUUUGUAAAUUUUAGUACUAGAACAAUGCUCAAUUUGGCUUUCUGAGAGAUUCAUAUAUGUAUAUGAGAAGAUAAUGAGUGCUACGAUAAAUGGUGCCGUUCACUUAUAAAAAGAUAGACUUCUCUCACCAGGAAGUCUGAGACGUCCGUUUUACAUUAUGUGAAAUCCAUUUAACAGUUCCUGCGGGCGAUUCUGCUGGCAUGUUGCACAAUCGAUACAGAGUCCGCGUCGUUACAUACAAAUAGGAAGGUUCAAUGUAUUCGUUAUAUCAUGUAGAAUUGUACUGCGAAGAUUCUAUUACAUAGGCUCAGCUAGACUUUCAGUCUUGACUUGCGACCGAUCGCUACAAUUUGCAAGCAUGGUACAACAAUGAUCGUGAAUUGACUUCGUGAUCGCGCUACAUCUUUGAAUCCGGCGCAAAUCGUAAUAAUGUAUGUAAAAGAAAGUUAUACCGGAUACACAUAUAUGGAAAAUGCAAAAACGUAGUCUAAAUUCUAAAUAAAAGACGUGUCCGUUUUUCAACUUUAUCAUUUUCCAUAAAAAUUCCCUCGCGUGACGUUAGCGCGAUAAAAUAAAAUUCGACCGACUAGGUAUUUGUGUGUGUA